AAAACCGUAGCAUAAAUAAAUGCGUUUCAUUUACACUGAAAAUAUAUUCUAAAUCUGAGUCGAUUUUA
rnacentral:tRNA from 1 species